GAUGAACGCUAGCGGCAGGCUUAAUACAUGCAAGUCGAGGGGCAGCAUGAGUGUAGCAAUACAUUUGAUGGCGACCGGCAAACGGGUGCGGAACACGUACACAACCUUCCUAUAAGUGGGGAAUAGCCCAGAGAAAUUUGGAUUGAUACCCCGUAACAUAAUGAUGUGGCAUCACAUUAUUAUUAUAGCUACGGCGCUUAUUGAUGGGUGUGCGGCUGAUUAGAUAGUUGGCGGGGUAACGGCCCACCAAGUCUACGAUCAGUAGCUGAUGUGAGAGCAUGAUCAGCCACACGGGCACUGAGACACGGGCCCGACUCCUACGGGAGGCAGCAGUAAGGAAUAUUGGUCAAUGGACGCAAGUCUGAACCAGCCAUGCCGCGUGAAGGAUUAAGGUCCUCUGGAUUGUAAACUUCUUUUAUCUGGGACGAAAAAAGGCGAUUCUUCGUCACUUGACGGUACCAGAUGAAUAAGCACCGGCUAACUCCGUGCCAGCAGCCGCGGUAACAC
rnacentral:rRNA from 1 species